rnacentral:rRNA from 1 species
UGGGGAAUAUUGGACAAUGGGCGAAAGCCUGAUCCAGCCAUGCCGCGUGUGUGAAGAAGGUCUUCGGAUUGUAAAGCACUUUAAGUUGGGAGGAAGGGCAGUAAGCGAAUACCUUGCUGUUUUGACGUUACCGACAGAAUAAGCACGGCUAACUCUGUGCCAGCAGCCGCGGUAAUACAGAGGGUGCAAGCGUUAAUCGGAAUUACUGGGCGUAAAGCGCGCGUAGGUGGUUCGUUAAGUUGAAUGUGAAAGCCCCGGGCUAAACCUGGGAACUGCAUCCAAAACUGGCGAGCUAGAGUAGGGCAGAGGGUGGUGGAAUUUCCUGUGUAGCGGUGAAAUGCGUAGAUAUAGGAAGGAACACCAGUGGCGAAGGCGACCACCUGGGCUCAUACUGACACUGAGGUGCGAAAGCGUGGGGAGCAAACAGG